rnacentral:rRNA from 1 species
AGGACGAACGCUGGCGGCGUGCUUAACACAUGCAAGUCGAGCGAGGGAGCUUGCUCCCUAGCGGCGAACGGGUGAGUAACACGUGGGCAACCUGCCUCUAGCUCUGGGAUAAGCCCGGGAAACUGGGUCUAAUACCGGAUACGACCACCGAAGACAUCUUCUGGUGGUGGAAAGAAUUUCGGCUAGAGAUGGGCCCGCGGCCUAUCAGCUUGUUGGUGGGGUAAUGGCCUACCAAGGCGACGACGGGU